UACAUGUGGGGCAAGCGUUGUUCGGAAUUACUGGGCAUAAAGGGUGCGUAGGCGGUUCUAUAAGUCAGUGGUGAAAUCCGGCAGCUCAACUGUCGAUGUGCCAUUGAUACUGCAGAACUUGAGUACAGACGAGGUAGGCGGAAUUGACGGUGUAGCGGUGAAAUGCUUAGAUAUCGUCAAGAACACCGAUAGCGAAGGCAGCUUACUAGGCUGUAACCGUGACGCUGAUGCACGAAAGUGUGGGGAUCAAACAGG
rnacentral:rRNA from 1 species